rnacentral:rRNA from 1 species
AGAGUUUGAUCCUGGCUCAGAACGAACGCUGGCGGCGUGGAUUAGGCAUGCAAGUCGAACGUGCUCCUUCCCUUCGGGGAAAAGAGUAAGUGGCGAAAGGGUGAGUAAUGCAUAGACAAUCUGCCCCUAGGACCGGGACAACUGCUCGAAAGGGCAGCUAAUACCGGAUGUUCCCGUCGGGUCGCAUGGCCUGACGUGCAAAGGUAGCCUCUUCUUGAAAGCCUCCGCCUAGGGAGGAGUUUAUGUCCUAUUAGCUUGUUGGUAGGGUAAUGGCCUACCAAGGCAUUGAUGGGUAGCGGGCCUGAGAGGGUGGCCCGUCACACUGGGACUGAGACACUGCCCAGACUCCUACGGGAGGCUGCAGUCGAGAAUCAUUCGCAAUGGGCGAAAGCCUGACGAUGCGACGCCGCGUGGAGGAUGAAGGCCUUCGUGGUUGUAAACUCCUGUCAGAGUAAGGGGAAACCAGGCGGGUUAAUACCCCGUCCUGCUGACGUCCUGCUCAAAGGAAGGCCCGGCUAAAUUCGUGCCAGCAGCCGCGGUAAUACGAAUGGGCCAAGCGUUGUUCGGAAUCACUGGGCAUAAAGCGCGCGUAGGCGGCGUGGCAAGUUUGGUGUGAAAGCCCCUGGCUCAACCAGGGAACUGCAUUGGAAACUGCCGUGCUAGAGGCCGGGAGAGGAGAGUGGAACUCCUAGUGGAGCGGUGAAAUGCGUAGAUAUUAGGAGGAACGCCGGUGGCGAAAGCGACUCUCUGGUCCGGACCUGACGCUGAGAUGCGAAAGCUAGGGGAGCGAACGGGAUUAGAUACCCCGGUAGUCCUAGCCGUAAACGAUGGGCACUAAGUAGAGGGGAUCUCGAAUUCUCUCUGCCGGAGCUAAUGUAUUAAGUGCCCCGCCUGGGGAGUAUGGUCGCAAGGCUGAAACUCAAAGGAAUUGACGGGGGCUCGCACAAGCGGUGGAGCAUGUGGUUUAAUUCGAAGCAACGCGAAGAACCUUACCUGGGCUGAACUACGCAGGGAAACGCUCCGAAAGGAGAACUAUCCUUAGGGAACCCUGUGAUAGGUGUUGCAUGGCUGUCGUCAGCUCGUGUUGUGAAAUGUUGGGUUAAGUCCCGUAACGAGCGAAACCCUUGCCUCUAGUUGCCAGCGGGUUAUGCCGGGAACUUUAGCGAGACUGCCGGUGUCAAGCCGGAGGAAGGUGGGGAUGACGUCAAGUCAUCAUGGCCCUUACGUCUGGGGCGACACACGUGCUACAAUGGCCGGUACAAAGAGUUGCAAUGCCGAAAGGUGGAGCCAAUCUCCAAAGCCGGUCUCAGUUCGGAUUGAGGGCUGAAAUUCGCCCUCAUGAAGCUGGAAUCGCUAGUAAUCGCGGGUCAGCCAUACCGCGGUGAAUACGUUCCCGAGCCUUGUACACACCGCCCGUCAAGCCACCGAAGCAGGGGGCACCCGAAGUCGCUGACCCAACCUUAGGGAGGGAGGUGCCGAAGGUGCCUUUUGUGACGGGGACUAAGUCGUAACAAGGUAACCGUA